rnacentral:rRNA from 1 species
GUGAAGGGGACCCGAAAGAGGGGAAGUAACCGCACCUACACUGCCAAGAAAAGCCUCUAUCGAGAUAAGUGGUGCCCGUACCGUAAACCGACACAGGUAGGUGAGGAGAGAAUCCUAAGGCGCUCGGGAGAACCUUCGUUAAGGAACUCGGCAAAAUGACCCCGUAACUUCGGGAGAAGGGGUGCCUAGCGAGAGCUAGGCCGCAGUGAAAAGGCCCAAGCGACUGUUUAGCAAAAACACAGGUCUCUGCUAAAUCGAAAGAUGAAGUAUAGGGGCUGACGCCUGCCCGGUGCUGGAAGGUUAAGGGGAGAGGUUAGCGUUAAGCGAAGCUUUGAACCGAAGCCCCAGUAAACGGCGGCCGUAACUAUAACGGUCCUAAGGUAGCGAAAUUCCUUGUCAGGUAAGUUCUGACCCGCACGAAUGGCGUAACGACUUGGGCACUGUCUCAACGAAGGACCCGGUGAAAUUGUAGUACCUGUGAAGAUGCAGGUUACCCGCGACAAGACGGAAAGACCCCGUGGAGCUUUACUGUAGCCUGAUAUUGAAUUUUGGCAUUUUAUGUACAGGAUAGGUGGGAGGCAGAGAAGGUAGGACGCCAGUCUUGCUGGAGCCGCCGGUGGGAUACCACCCUUAAAGUGCUGGAAUUCUAACUG